rnacentral:lncRNA from 1 species
UCUCCUCUCGUAAGGUAGACCUUCCAACAGAGGUUGUUGGUUUUUCCUGCUUCUAGUAUGUAUUGUUUCCUGCAUACACAAGAAACACACCCUAAAAGCACUUUUACAAAAAAAAAAUAAAACAAAGCAAUUAAAGAAAAAUAAAACAAAAUAAUUACAACCAAGUCAAAUUCAAUCAAUUCACACUACUAGAAAAAUAAACCUCGAGUCCCCGGCAACGACACCAAAAACUUGUUGACAAAUUGGCAAGUGUACCAAAUCGUACAAGUAACAUAAAUGGUAAGACCAAGUAUCGUUUUCCCAAG